CUACCGAUUGAAUGGCUCAGUGAGGCCUUCGGACUGGCUCAGGGAGGUUGGCAACGACCACCCCGAGCCGGAAAGUUCGUCAAACUCGGUCAUUUAGAGGAAGUAAAAGUCGUAACAAGGUUUCCGUAGGUGAACCUGCGGAAGGAUCAUU
rnacentral:rRNA from 1 species